rnacentral:rRNA from 1 species
GCCGAACGCUGGCGGCGUGCUUAACACCUGCAAGUCGAACGAAGUGGCGAACGGGUGAGUAACGCGUAAUCAACCUGCCCUUCAGAGGAGGACAACAGGUGGAAACGACUGCUAAUACCGCAUACUGAAGGAGUGGCUUGCGUCUGAUUAGCUAGUUGGGGGGGUAACGGCCCACAAAGGGCAUGGUCAGUAGCCGGGCUGGUGGGGUGAACGGCGACAUGGGGACUGGGACACGGCCCAGACUCCUACGGGAGGCAGCAGGGGGGAAUCUUCCGAAAUGGACGAAAGUCGGACGGAGCAACGCCGCGGGAGGGAUGACGGCCUUCGGGUUGUAAAGCUCUGUUAAUCGGGACGCGGUACCGGAAUAGAAAGCCACGGCUAACUACGUGCCAGCCGCCGCGGUAAUAC